UACGUAGGAGGCAAGCGUUGUCCGGAAUUACUGGGUGUAAAAGCGCGUGUAGGUGGUGGGCCAAGUCUGUGGUGAAAUCGCCCGGCUCAACUGGGCGGGGUCCUGGAAACUGGUCGACUGGAGGACGGUAGAGGCGAGUGGAAUUCCCGGUGUAGUGGUGAAAUGCGUAGAUAUCGGGAGGAACACCUGAGGCGAAGGCGGGCUACUGGGCCGAUACUGACGCUGAUGCGCGAAAGCCAGGGGAGCGAACGGG
rnacentral:rRNA from 1 species